GCGGGCGUAGCUCAGCGGUAGAGCGUCAGCUUCCCAAGCUGAGGGUCGUGGGUUCAAGUCCCAUCGCCCGCCCCA
rnacentral:tRNA from 1 species